GGUUACUCCAGUCCUCACUAUUCUUCUAUUUGUCUCUGUUUAGUGUUUUACUUUUUUUAUCAGCUGCAUAAUAGAUAACCAUAUCUACAUUUGUCUCUAUUUUCUGUCAGGUUAGGCAACAGGAUGGCAGUCACAGGAGCCAUUGCAUUUUCUUUGUCGCAAUGGCAUUAGGUAGUUGUACCUACUGCGGUUGUUACACUAAUAUCUAUUUAUUACAUGUUGCUAUAGUUACAAAGCUUCAACAGCUUACUAUAAAUUAGACUGGUUUGAUUCCUAGAUAUUAUUGUAUUUUACCCGUAGGAUCAAUUUCCAAUGAGUUGGUGCCUAGGGUCUUGUGGGGAGCACAUUUUCUUUAGCUGCUGCCAUUUAUUCUGCUGCUUUCGUACAACCUAGCACUCUUCUGUGGUGGGCAUAUGUUAUUUUGUACCAAUGAUAGAUACAGAAAGUGCAAGACUUCUACUCUCUACUUAAUGAACUGAUUUUGCUUCAGGAUAACUAGCUUGAUUAAUUAGCAUGUUUCUGUGAUCAAUGAAUUACUAAGGUUGUGACCCCAGCUUGGAGGCUUGAGUUCCUUCCGUAGUUCUUUAUUUUACUUAAAUGAUCAUGAACCCUUUACUUAACAUAUGUCCUUUUGUACCUUAGCAAAGGGUCUCGCCACCGCGCGCAGUCCACCUCUCCCCGCAGGCAUGCCGGCCACCUCCCCACCUGAUGCACAUCUUUCCCAUGGGGCCAUGGAACACGGUGAGCAGCAGUGGCUGUGUCACUUGUAUUGAGCACACCAAUCUGCCUCGGUAGACGGCUGCUGAAGUUGACCCACAGGUUGGAGACAAAGAUAGUGUGACAAUUGACUGACCUUGACAUGUUUGAGAAUUAGGCAAUUGAUUGUGCCAUUUCUCUGCGCAUUGGUACUUACUUUUAAAACCGGUAGAUUUUAAGAAAUAUUUCCGAUGCAUUAUAGAAUGCCACCAAAACAGAAUAACUCUCCUGCCUAUUUCCAUUUAUUCUUAACAUUGCUUGUUUUUCCUUAUGAUGCUACA